AUCCUUUUGUGGUUCAUAAGCAUGAUGAUUGGGUUUACACAUAUCUGUGUGACAUGUGCCUCCCUUCAACCUUGUUAUGAUGUCAGCACAUUACCCAUCUGACA